rnacentral:lncRNA from 1 species
AUUUUAUUUUUCAUCUGUUCUUCUGGUAAAUACAUAGGAAUGAUGUUCUGUCAGCAUGAAGUUUGAUAGGUCAAGGUAAACCAUUUUUAUUCUUGGUCUGUAUAAUAACUUCCACAUUUUGGCAAUAUAGAAUUUUCAUUUUUAAGAAAGUAUACAAAGAAAUUACUUCUCAGCAAGAUUAUGUAAAGGAAACAACUUGGUAGCCACACCAGUAUUACUAAUGGGCCUUUGGGGAGCAUAUGUUUUUGUUAAUUUAUUCACAUUUGAAUGGGGAAGAACAUAAACAUUUGUAAAUAACAAUAAAGAUGUAUACAUGGAACUGUAUAAAGUUCAGAGAAGAAAUAUAGUGAAAGAAGUGUGUUAAUGAAGAAUUCGUUCAGGAAAAAAAAUACAUUGAGACUUAAACCAUGGAUCUGAGUGUAUCAGGUUAUUAUGGCACUGAGUUGUUUUAAGAAAAAAGAAAAGUAUCGUCCAAGAUUUUUUUUUUUCAGGGGUGGGCAGUGUUGCUUUUAUGUAUUUAUUUUCCCAUAUUUGUAAUUGGUACAUUAUAAUUAUACAUAAUACUGGGAUUCAUUGUUAUAUACCCAUAUAACAACAUAAUUUAGCAUGGUCCAAGAUUAUUGGAGCCUAAGCUGAUUCCUAGCAAAUUUGAAAUUUUGAGUAUUUUCUGAAAUAUAGGGGACAGAUGAGAUCUGAUUGGCAAAACAGCAGUCAAACUUCAGGACCAGCAGUGAUAGAAACAUGGAGUUGGGGUGUGAGAAUGGAGGGAGUACAUAUGUCCUAAAAUAAAGGGUAACUGUUGGAGAAUGGAAUUUGAAACUUCUAGUUCAAUUGGUUUCUUUCCCCAUUCACUCUCUUCAAAACCAAGGGUACCCCAGAAAGGUAUUUGUCCCUUGCUAGCACAGUGACUGGAAGGUUGGGGCAGAUAAGCCAGGCAGUAACCCAGAAGGCUAUGUCCAGGAAAGGAAACCUAACUUCAUACUUACAACACAAGCCAGUGGCAUACCCUGUCCAAGAUUAUAUUUUAUUCUUCCCUUACAAUCACUAGAGCAAACUAUGUUGAUCAGAAAUGAUAUCAUGUACAUAGAACAGGAAAUACCAACACAAAAACAAAAUCAAAGCCAGGCGUGGUGACGCACACUUAUAAUCCCAGCAGCUUGGGAGGCUGAGAAGGUUCAAAGCUAGCCUCAACAAUUUAACAAGGCCCUAAGGAAC